AUUAGAUACCCCUGUAGUCCUGGCCGUAAACGAUGUGGACUUGGUGUAGGAAUGGCUCCGAGCUGCUCCAGUGCCGAAGGGAAGCUGUUAAGUCCACCGCCUGGGAGGUACGGUCGCAAGACUGAAACUUAAAGGAACUGGCGGGGGAGCACCACAACGCGUGGAGCCUGCGGUUUAAUUGAAUUCAACGCCGGACAUCUCACCAGGGGCGACAGCAGAAUGAUGGCCAGGUUGAUGACCUUGCUUGACAAGCUGAGAGGAGGUGCAUGG
rnacentral:rRNA from 1 species